GCCUCUUUGGCGCAGUGGUAACGCGUAGCACUUGUAUUCCUAAUGAAUAAUCAAUGCUAAGAUCACAGGUUCGAUUCCUGUAGGAGGCA
rnacentral:tRNA from 1 species